rnacentral:rRNA from 1 species
AUGAACGCUAGCUACAGGCUUAACACAUGCAAGUCGAGGGGCAGCAUGGUCUUAGCUUGCUAAGGCCGAUGGCGACCGGCGCACGGGUGAGUAACACGUAUCCAACCUGCCGUCUACUCUUGGACAGCCUUCUGAAAGGAAGAUUAAUACAAGAUGGCAUCAUGAGUCCGCAUGUUCACAUGAUUAAAGGUAUUCCGGUAGACGAUGGGGAUGCGUUCCAUUAGAUAGUAGGCGGGGUAACGGCCCACCUAGUCUUCGAUGGAUAGGGGUUCUGAGAGGAAGGUCCCCCACAUUGGAACUGAGACACGGUCCAAACUCCUACGGGAGGCAGCAGUGAGGAAUAUUGGUCAAUGGGCGAGAGCCUGAACCAGCCAAGUAGCGUGAAGGAUGACUGCCCUAUGGGUUGUAAACUUCUUUUAUAAAGGAAUAAAGUCGGGUAUGGAUACCCGUUUGCAUGUACUUUAUGAAUAAGGAUCGGCUAACUCCGUGUCAGCAGCCGCGGUAAUACGGAGGAUCCGAGCGUUAUCCGGAUUUAUUGGGUUUAAAGGGAGCGUAGAUGGAUGUUUAAGUCAGUUGUGAAAGUUUGCGGCUCAACCGUAAAAUUGCAGUUGAUACUGGAUAUCUUGAGUGCAGUUGAGGCAGGCGGAAUUCGUGGUGUAGCGGUGAAAUGCUUAGAUAUCACGAAGAACUCCGAUUGCGAAGGCAGCCUGCUAAGCUGCAACUGACAUUGAGGCUCGAAAGUGUGGGUAUCAAACAGGAUUAGAUACCCUGGUAGUCCACACGGUAAACGAUGAAUACUCGCUGUUUGCGAUAUACUGCAAGCGGCCAAGCGAAAGCGUUAAGUAUUCCACCUGGGGAGUACGCCGGCAACGGUGAAACUCAAAGGAAUUGACGGGGGCCCGCACAAGCGGAGGAACAUGUGGUUUAAUUCGAUGAUACGCGAGGAACCUUACCCGGGCUUAAAUUGCAGAUGAAUUACGGUGAAAGCCGUAAGCCGCAAGGCAUCUGUGAAGGUGCUGCAUGGUUGUCGUCAGCUCGUGCCGUGAGGUGUCGGCUUAAGUGCCAUAACGAGCGCAACCCUUGUUGUCAGUUACUAACAGGUUCCGCUGAGGACUCUGACAAGACUGCCAUCGUAAGAUGUGAGGAAGGUGGGGAUGACGUCAAAUCAGCACGGCCCUUACGUCCGGGGCUACACACGUGUUACAAUGGGGGGUACAGAGGGCCGCUACCACGCGAGUGGAUGCCAAUCCCCAAAACCUCUCUCAGUUCGGACUGGAGUCUGCAACCCGACUCCACGAAGCUGGAUUCGCUAGUAAUCGCGCAUCAGCCACGGCGCGGUGAAUACGUUCCCGGGCCUUGUACACACCGCCCGUCAAGCCAUGGGAGCCGGGGGUACCUGAAGUGCGUAACCGCGAGGAGCGCCCUAGGGUAAAACUGGUGACUGGGGCU